UCUGAUAAUGAUGACAAACUUGCCCUCACUGAGAACUAUGUUCUAUAAUGAGAACUCCAAUCGUACUCAAAGCUGAAACAGA